rnacentral:rRNA from 1 species
UACGGGGGGGGCAAGCGUUGUUCGGAAUUACUGGGCGUAAAGGGCGCGUAGGCGGCCUGCUAAGUCGGACGUGAAAUCCCUCGGCUCAACCGGGGAACUGCGUCCGAUACUGGCGAGGCUUGAAUCCGGGAGAGGGAUGUGGAAUUCCAGGUGUAGCGGUGAAAUGCGCAGAUAUCUGGAGGAACACCAGUGGCGAAGGCGGCAUCCUGGACCGGCAUUGACGCUGAGGCGCGAAAGCUAGGGUAGCAAACGGG